rnacentral:rRNA from 1 species
UACAGAGGUCUCAAGCGUUGUUCGGAUUCAUUGGGCGUAAAGGGUGCGUAGGCGGCGCGGUAAGUCGGGUGUGAAAUCUUGGAGCUCAACUCCGAAAUUGCACUGGAUACUGCUCUGCUAGAGGGCUGGAGAGGAGAUCGGAAUUCACGGUGUAGCAGUGAAAUGCGUAGAUAUCGUGAGGAAGACCAGUGGCGAAGGCGGAUCUCUGGACAGCUCCUGACGCUGAGGCGCGAAGGCUAGGGGGAGCAAACGGGG